CGCAUCCUUAGUUACCGAGAGAUUCGAGCAGCGACAUUUAACCGAUACUUCUUUGCGCCGAUCGAUUAGCGACAGCGAAACGAAACAGCAAGUAUAUUGUACGACUAGUGAUUGAUCUGUCUCGUUACCUUUAUAUGUGGAUAUAAAUUAAAAUGUUUUACAUAAUCCGAAAGGUAUUCUCGAAUUACGCUAUGAUGAACAAAUGAUGGCCCUUCGUCAUGUGUCAUUGGAAAAUCAGGUCGCUAAAUGUAAGAUCAUUCAUGCAGAAAUCAACACCGAAGACCGGAGUAUUGCGUAAAGGAUGUGAACAAGCAUUGAAGUUAAUAAGCUGAAGUAGCAGAAGACUGUCAAUGAGAUCAUUGAUAACUUUGCAUAAAAAAAUAAUAUCAGCAAUCUUCCUCCAGUAUCAGCAUAUUCAUUUUCUGGAGUACUGACACGUAGUUGUGAUAACGAUUGUGGAUUAAACAAUCACAGUAUAAAAGUAUCACAACUAUGUGUGAGUACUGCAUUUUACUGUAUUUAUAAAUAAUCAUUGACGCCUGAUGUAAGUUUAUCACAGCAGGAAUUUAUACUGUGUUUUUAUAAUAAGCUGAAUGUGUAUAUCUGCUUUAAUGAAGAACUUGAUCCUAUGAUACCGACAUAUUUUAAGUAAGAUAUGACCAAACAAUUAUACAGGAUUUUUAAAGCGUAGGGAUUUCUGAAAUCCCUAGAAAAUCGAAAGAUAAAUCCAAAUUCAUUCGCCUUGUCGGUAAUGUUAAUGAUAUGCUUGGUAAAACAGUCGCUCGUUAUAGAGAAAGCCUAGGUGGCGCUCAUUAUUUACCAGAAGAUAGGUAAGAACCGUCAAGAAUGUAAGCAUAACAGAAUUCUUCUCUUAUUUAAGAAACAUUCUCAUCAUUUGGUACUUGGGUAUGUUUACGUAUAAUUUGUUACAAGCCUAUCAUCCUCAUAACCUAUUAGAGUCUUUUCGCAAUAAAUUCUAUAUUCCAUACAUAUCGACGAAGAAUGUAUCUAAUUAUGAUAAAACAAAAAACAUGAAGACUGUACACGUGUAAUUACAAAUGACCUAUAUAUGUACGUACUAUCGUAUGUUAUCAAAUUUUAUAUGCGCAAUACACAUCUUCCUUAACCUUUAACAAUCAUCAAAAUGUACAGAUAUUAAUCAUUACGAAUGUAUAUGUGAGUCAUAACUUUCGUAAGAAGGAACUUUCCUAUGGAAAUUAAAAUCGCCGCAUUCUACAAGAGAAUAUCUAUAAUAUGUAAACGAUAAUGUUUGUCAUUUUCUCUAUGCCAAGGGUUCUUAAUUUUUUCACAAAUACAGGCCACCAAAACCAAAAUUGCAGUAUUUCAGUACCAAGCAGAGAAACAUAUUUUCUUACCAAAGCGAUUGUCUCAUUACUAUGUCAAGAAGUGUAUCGCGUGUCAGCAAAGUUUAUCGCAACCAGCUAGACUGUCUAGAACCAUUAUUACUGUAUAAAUGGCGUAAAAACAAAUACGAUCGAUGAUCCUGUGUUUGCAUCGCUGAUCGAAUAACCCAAAUUGUGGACGGUAUUUGGUUUACAUUCGAAUUCAAUUCCGAAAUUAUUGUAUUUUGUCAUUUGACCUAUUCCACCGUGACGGAUUAUCCCAUUCAAAUGGAAUUUUAUCAGUAUCGUAUAAUAUAGUAGCAUGAUAUAGUAUAUUGUCUCAUAGUAUAGUACAAAUAAUAUCAUUUUGGAAAUCAUUUUGUGUAAAAGCAAUUAUUCCAAUUUCUAUCAGUAAAUUCUAAGUAUUUUUUACUCUUAUCUUAGAUAAGAUAUUUUUCAAUGCUAAUUAUGCAAGCAACGUGAUUUACAAUGUAUUGUAAUGAGUGUAGAAACAAUAAAUAUUCGUUACUAUUAGAUUAAAAAA
rnacentral:lncRNA from 1 species